GACACUGUUCAACAGAAUCUUGUUUGGGAUAAGGCCACAUUUUCCUCUGCACUGCAAGAAAUGGGCUGCUUUGAGAAGUACAGCAGGCAGACAACACUAAAUUUGGAAGAGCAUCCUACUCUACUGUGCCUGGACCUACCUUGACAACUGUGCAGAGGUUUGGGCACCACGAUGUAAGGAGGACAAAUCUAUGAGAGAGCACUGGAAAGGCAAACAUUUCAGUUUACGCACUAUUAGAAAGAAAUACUUCGAAGGGGAGGAAGACAACACAAGAUUACUCACAGGAAGAUCGCAGAAAGCAAAUAUAUGUUAUUACAAUCACUUUUAAUUACAGUGUUUGUUUCCUAGGAUACCAAAGAAAUACCUUCACUAUUAGCUAGAAACAACUCUUCAUUAGCAGGUCCACAGACUCAAAGAUAUAAUGUUGUAUUUUUUUUUUUAAACACUGUUUGGAUGCAACACAUUCAAAUCUUUGAUUGUUCCUUUCUACUAAGUCUAGUAUUCCUGAGAAAUUUUAUUUAAAUAGUGUAGGAACUUUUUCUAUUUAGGUAAACUACAGGCUACGUACAAAGGCAUCGGACAGCAGUAAAACAGCAGCUCACAAAUAGCAGAAUGAAGCACGGGAUUAAAAAUAUAGAUUUCCUCUGCAAGUGAUUUGCACACAUCCCUUGUAUAAUGCUUCUUUACAUAAAAUAUAUGAAAAUAGAACAAAAUUAAAAUCAGAGACAAGCUUGAGAGAAAAAUGAAAAUUAUUUCCCAGACACGGUCAAGACUUCAGCACUCAGAUAGCAAGAGGUACAUCCUCAUUUAUUUAUCUUUAGCAGUGUUUCACAACUUCUAGGAACUAGAACAGCAUUAACAGCAAAACCUGUGCAUGUUCUACCUCAUGAUUUUCAGUGCAGAGCAUACAGAAAGCAGGCUAUCAUCCUUCUGACACAUUUAUAAACACAACAAGGACCAAGUGGGAAAAAUACAAUAGGUAUCUCUGGAUAUUCAGAAAAAUCUUCAAGUUCAUUUAUGUACAGCCUUGAGUGUAAGUCUUAGAGAACAUCAGCUGAUCUGUAAAUCUGAACAGAAGAGUCCCCCUACUGCAGAACAGCCUCAUCUUCAUAGCAUUCAGGUUGAAGAGCAGCAGAACACUCUCAGUAGAAUGCUGGUGAAUUAGAAACUCCGUGAAAUGUAACUGGUUGUACUACAAAUCAGCAACAAUGAGAGGCAUUUACAUGAGCAGUAAUUCCCAAAUAACCUAUUACAGAAUACCUUCACAACAUGGAACUUCAGAUUCUGGAGGGAUCAGACUGCGUAAGCAAAGAUAAAUUUGCAACAGGAAUAGCGUGGAAAUCUUAUUAGAUACCACUGAUGUCUAGUGUUCUGCUAGAAUAAAAUUAAUAUCCUUCUCUAAAAUGUUAUCAUCAUUCUCCUGAUGGCUAUGUACCUGUUCUGAUUGCUUCAACAGGGGCUUUGGCCUUAAUUUCCUGUGCUAAUGGUUCUCCACUCUAGUUGCAUACUGUAUGGAAAUGCUUAUGCUUUUAUCGUGCUGGAAUAUCCUGCUUUUCAUGUAAUAGACUUUCAAUAUUUUGCACAUUGUGAGAGCAGAAGAAAUGAAGCUCCUACUUUCUUUC
ensembl:lncRNA